AUUGAUUGAUUAAUCUCUUUACAAUUAAUUUCUAAUUUAGAAUUAACUAAAAAAUUAAUUGAUUCACUAUGUAUGAAAAUCAUUCCUCAUAUAAUUGUUUCAGUGAAAAAAAAGUAUUUAUAUUAUUUCUUAACAAAGUAAGUAUUGAUGUAAGUAGUAAGUAAGAUAAUAAUUGCAAAAAGAAUAUUAAAAACUAAAUGGAAAAGAUAUAAUAGAUGAAUAAAUCUAACCUUAUAUCUUUAUAGAUAUUAUAUUUCAUAUAAUUACUUCAAUAAAAGGAAAGAAUUUAUAUCAUUUCUUAGAGAAAUAAGUGUGAUAAUAGUCGUGAAGAAAAAUCGAAAAAAUAUUAAUAAUGGAUAGACUUAACCUUACAUCUUUGCUCUCAUGGUUGAGUUUUCACCGUGGUUUCGAACCCUUUGUUCUAGUAUGGGUCACGUGCCGUCGUUGAUGGGAGAAUUAUCGUCCACGAAAGAGGCUUCCCACUCUCUAUUGUGGCCACGACGGUUGAGGGGUUGAGCAAAACAGAGACAAGAAGAUAGAAAAGGGAGUAAAAGAGAGACGGUCGAACGACAGAAACGCAAAAGGGUGGUUUUGCCCAGACUCACAAGUGGCAGCUUUUAAUCUCUUCCAGGGAUAUCUCAACUCGAGUCUGAAUUGUACCUCGUUACCAGCGAUUUAAUUGCUUGUUAAUGGAUAAUCGAAGUAUUUUACGAAUUGGCUCCGGCAAUACUAACCAUCGACUUCAUGAAUUAACCGAUAACAAAUCAUAUCCAUUGAAAAUAUCAACCUAAUGGAAGAUAUAAAACUACAGGCACGAAAGUAAAUAUUUAAUAGUCUGCUCUAAAUAAUAGAAGAGACACAAGGUGGGAGGUUACGGUGCUAAUUGACCGAUCAAUCUUCAUUAGAAAACGGCUUAAUUACAGUACAAGCUCUCUCUCUUAGAAACUGCUCUCCGUCGUAGCCAUCGUUUCCUUCACCUCCUUUCUUCCGGUGCCCUGGAAAGUUUAAUAAUUCCGAAACCUUGGUGAGAUAUAAAUCACAGAGGUACCUCUCUCGAUGCCGUCCUCCUUUUCCCUCUGCCUUUCUCUCCGCUAUGGCCAUAAUUCGAAAAACUUUCGAGGGAACAAAAGUGAGGACUUUUGUUCCAAGUUUUAGUCCUUCAUCUCAUUCCUCGUUCGUGAGGGCGCUGUGUUUGCGGAGCGACGCCCCGACAGUGUUUUAUUCGCUUUGUCUCUUUUUCCUGUUAGGUAUACAAUGCCGUAACUGCCUGGACCAUCUCUUCGCGUACCUCCUUCGCGUCCAACCACGAAAGAUUCCAAGUUUCUCUCCUUUCCUCCCUUUUACCAUCUCGCUCUUCUUUAAUUCUUGAUCUUCCUUUUUCUGUCUCAUUCUUUCUUCAUUUUAUUAUUUCUCUUUCUCCGUCACGCUAACCAGAAGAAGACGAGAUAAAGUACGUAUACGCAAAACAUCGAGGGUUUCGCGGCGUUUUGUUGGGUAAAAGAAGGAUAGGAAGAGAACAAAAUGGAACGGAGUACCGCCCACGCAUACAGAAGAAAGACCGGUGAACAAGUUCAUUCCGAUUCUUCUAUACCUUCUCUACCUCUUAGUGGGACCAUUAAAUCUUCGUUGAACAGAUCUGUUAACCAUUCGACCCUUAUGUAAUGAUUAAUAAUGCACAAAUACAAUAUAUUGAUUUCUUUUCUAAUUUAUCAUAUCUAAUUGAUAUGAUAUUGCAAGCGAAUCCUA
rnacentral:lncRNA from 1 species